CUGGAAAGCUACAGAAUUCAGCCGUCUCUGUAGCAACCACUUUCACACAAGGGAAUAUAUUAUCCCCCCAUCAGAAAACGAUGCUUGCAGAUUAAAAUCAAAUGCAGUUCCAGAAAUAUUUUCGAAACCUCCUCUUAAUGCUGGCUUGACUAAAUCUUUGCGCAGACGACUUGAAGGAGAAAACCAGUCAAACAAUUCGCUUUUCCCAGAAGCAAAGGUAUUGCACGACCACACUUACUGCAGCAAAUUGACGACAGCAUUCGAGGAUAGCGAGAACAAGGAAAACGACAGGCCAGCACUAGAAGACACAUUAAAAAGAAAAAUUAGGAGCCUACCAACAACAACUUAGGCGAAAGAAGGCAAAAAAAAAAACAACUAUGGCUGAUGUAAUUCAUGAACUUCAACAAAAACAAAUAAUUGAACCAACCUCGUUCCCAGGCUCUUUGCUCCCAAGAGCAAAGAGCCUGGGAACGAGGUUUAUAAUUGAACAAGAUGAUGCUGAGGUAAUGCAUUC